CCCCUAGAUGUUCUGGGCCGCACGCGCGCUACACUGAACAGUUCAACAAGUCUUAACCUUGGCCGAUAGGUCUGGGUAAUCUUUGAACGCUGUUCGUGAUUGGGAUAGACCUUUGCAAUUAUGGGUCUUCAACGAGGAAUUCCUAGUAAACGCAAGUCAUCAGCUUGCAUUGAUUACGUCCCUGCCCUUUGUACACACCGCCCGUCGCACCUACCGAUUGAAUGGUCCGGUGAAAUCUCGGGACGGCGGCUUGGUCGCUUGCGUCCGACUGCUGAAACUUGAUUAAACCAUAUCAUUUAGAGGAAGGUGAAGUCGUAAC
rnacentral:rRNA from 1 species